UUUUGGUUCAGUCUCAGCUGCUCUUUUCAUAUAUUCUCCUUAUUUUUAAACAGAUCAGAAGUUUCUGGCACCACUUCAGGUCCUUUCUUGGAGACGAGCAUAAGAUGGUCAUAACAAUAAUGUUCUUUGCUUCAGGAUUCUGUGUGUUGAUUUCACCCACUGCCUAUUCUUUAAUAAGUCAUUUUUAAUAAUAUCGUUGAAAACAACUCCAACUUUAAGAAAGAGGUAAGUUUAGUUUUAUAGAAGAGAGAUUCUCUCUGUCAGGUGAAUAUCUGCAAAUAUACAAACACAUUAAAUCUGAGUCUGUAGAUGACAGUCAGCAAUGCAGCCCCAUUUAAAAACAUUAAGAAAAAAUUAAAGUGUGAAUCAGCGACUGCUGCUGUCUGAACUUUUAAUGUGACUCUUUCCUUACUUGUGUAAAAUAUCUGAAUGAUCAGUCAUUACUGCUUUUCUUGAAACCUCAACACAGAAAAAGAAUAAAAUCCACAUGAUGUGAAAUCCAUCACUUUCUUGCUCUA